UGCGUAGGCGGUGCAGCAAGUCGGGUGUGAAAUCCCUCAGCUCAACUGAGGAAUGGCGCCCGAAACUGCUGUGCUCGAGGAAGAUAGAGGUACGCGGAACUUAGGGUGGAGCGGUGAAAUGCGUUGAUAUCCUAAGGAACACCGGUGGCGAAAGCGGCGUACUGGGUCUUUUCUGACGCUGAGGCACGAAAGCUGGGUAGCAACG
rnacentral:rRNA from 1 species